rnacentral:rRNA from 1 species
UACGUAGGGGGCGAGCGUUGUCCGGAUUUAUUGGGCGUAAAGAGCUCGUAGGCGGUUUGUCGCGUCUGCCGUGAAAGUCCGGGGCUCAACUCCGGAUCUGCGGUGGGUACGGGCAGACUAGAGUGAUGUAGGGGAGACUGGAAUUCCGUGGUGUAGCGGUGAAAUGCGCAGAUAUCAGGAGGAACACCGAGUGGCGAAGGCAGGUCUCUGGGCAUUAACUGACGCUGAGGAGCGAAAGCAUG